UACGUAGGGGGCAAGCGUUGUUCGGAUUCAUUGGGCGUAAAGGGUGCGUAGGCGGCGCGGUAAGUCGGGUGUGAAAUCUCGGGGCUUAACUCCGAAACUGCAUUCGAUACUGCGGUGCUUGAGGACUGGAGAGGAGACUGGAAUUCAUGGUGUAGCAGUGAAAUGCGUAGAGAUCAUGAGGAAGACCAGUGGCGAAGGCGGGUCUCUGGACAGUUCCUGACACUGAGACACGAAGGCCAGGGGAGCAAACGGG
rnacentral:rRNA from 1 species